rnacentral:rRNA from 1 species
UACGAAGGGGGCUAGCGCUGUUCGGAAUUACUGGGCGUAAAGCGUGCGCAGGCGGCUUCUCAAGUCAGGGGUGAAAGCCCAGAGCUCAACUCUGGAAUUGCCUUUGAGACUGAGUGGCUUGAGUACGAGAGAGGUGAGUGGAAUUCCCAGUGUAGAGGUGAAAUUCGUAGAUAUUGGGAAGAACACCGGUGGCGAAGGCGGCUCACUGGCUCGUAACUGACGCUCAUGCACGACAGCGUGGGGAUCAAACAGG